GAACUGCUGGUUUUCGGUGUAUAUAUACAGGUAAAAAUACACAUGUACAGGACGAAUAGUUAACUGUUCGCUCUGUGACGCCGAAUUUUUCUGAGCGUUUUUAUAUUUUAUUUUCUGUUCCUUCGGGCAGAUGGACGCUUGCCUGUCGUCUCUCGAUUUCUUUGGGACUCGGCCGGUAGUUGACUCCGUUUAGACUUCAUUACCAGGAGGUUUUUUUCCUAUCGACCUUGAUUCCGGUGAGUUUCGAAAACUCCUGGUCGUAAUUCAACGAGUUUUGUUUUGUUUGGUUUUGUUUUUAUGAAUUGGGUUUGGCAGUUCCAUGGUAUUUAGAGGCAAUUCGAGCUCAAGAGGUCCUGGCAUGGUGUCUCUGAUGGAUUAAGAAAUAAAGGGCGGCUUUGUUGGGGUUUUGUUUUGUUUUCUGGGUUUCGUAGUUAUUGGAAUCCAUUGCAAUGGGAAAGCAAGGUUCUUGUUUUGAUUGAAUUUGAAGCUUGGCAGUUGACUUGAAAAGAGUUUUGCAAUAAAAUUCUGGUUCUGGGUAUUUGAGAAACUUGAGAUUUUAGUUUUUCUUUUUGCUUCUGGGGAAUUUGUGGAUUCUGGGGUUUGAGGGCCUAACGAAAGUUUUGUGAUUGAGGAAUUGGGCAAGUAGGAUGGAUGAUUCUCAGGGUGGUUCGAAUUCGCUGCCUCCGUUCCUUUCAAAGACGUACGAGAUGGUGGAUGAUCCCUCCACUGAUUCAGUUGUGUCGUGGAGCCCGACUAAUAAGAGCUUUGUCGUGUGGAAUCCUCCGGAGUUUGCGAGGGUUCUGCUGCCGAAGUUCUUUAAGCACAAUAACUUCUCAAGCUUCAUUAGACAGCUGAAUACAUAUGGUUUUAGAAAAAUUGAUCCGGAACAAUGGGAAUUUGCGAAUGACGAUUUUAUGAGAGGUCAGCCACACCUUUUGAAAAACAUACACAGACGAAAACCCGUUCAUAGUCACUCAAUGCAGAAUCUGCAAGGACAAGGAAGUGCAUCGCCUUUAAGUGAAUCGGAAAGACAGAGUUUGAAGGAGGAGAUUGAGAGGCUUAAAAAUGAUAGGGAGCAGCUUCUUUUGGAGUUGCAGAGGAACGAAGAGGAGCGGCAUGGAUACCAGCUACAAGUACAGCGAUUCAAGGAGCGUUUGCAGCAAAUAGAGCUGCGACAGCAAAAUAUGAUGUCUUCUGUGUCUGGAGUCUUGCGGAAACCAGGGCUUGCCUUGAAUCUUGUGACACAACUGGAAAAUCAUGACAGAAAGAGAAGGCUGCCAAGAACCAGUUACUUUUAUGAUGAGGCCGACGUUGAAGAUGAUCAGAUGGAGACUUCACAAAGUUUACCUAGAGAAAGUGGGGCGAGUGCUUCUACUUUGACAUUGAAAAUGGACCCGUUUGAGCAUUUGGAGUCAUCGUUGUUAUUUUGGGAGAGUAUUGUGCAUGAUGUUGGUCAAACUUGCGUUGAACAAAAUUCAAGCGUGGUAUUAGAUGAAUCCACGAGUUGUGCUGACAGCCCUGCUAUAUCUGGCUUGCAGCUCAAUGUUGACAUUCGGCCUAAAUCUCCUGGAAUUGACAUGAACUCUGAACCUGCUACAGUUGCUGCUCCAGACUCUGCUGAGCCUGUUACCUCCAAAGGACAAGCAGUCGUGAAUGCAGCUACUGUGCCCACUGGGGUCAAUGAUGUAUUCUGGGAACAGUUUUUGACUGAGAAUCCUGGUUCAUCCGAAGCACAGGAAUUUCAAUCAGAAAGAAAGGAAUCAAUGGCUGAAAGAAUGAAACCAAACCUGGCAAUCAUGGCAAAUUUUAGUGGAAGAUAAAUAAUGAAAAUUAACCUUGCCUAGCGGGUGGGGCAUCUUACUCCAGCAGAAAGGACUUGAUACCAGUUGAUUCCUUUCUCCGGCUUUUGAUGCCCCAGUGCCUCACAUGUAAUAAAUUUAGGACCAAAUAUGAUUUCUACUGUGCUUCCCUUGGUUAUGUUUGGAGAAUUUUCAGUUCAUGGUAUAGCCACGUAUCUACAACAUUAUUAUACCAGAGUUACCUUACUCACUCCGGUAAGUAGGCACUUAUAUGUGAGUCGGUUUUUCUUAUGAUAACUAAAAUUUGGAUUGAAACAGCAAUUAUGUAUGUCUUCCUAAUUUACCAUUUUUAGCAAAAUGUACAUAUGCCAGUGGAUGCAGCAAAAUUAUCACAAAUGAAAGAUUGAAGAUUCUGGUAGCUAUGCGAUAGGUUCUGCUACCGUGUACUUGUAUCCUUAUUGAUGCAUCGGAACUGGUGUGUCCCCAAAAAGUGUUGGAUAUGGAAGGCUGGUCCUUAUUAUUAUCCUGGUGUGUCCAUUGUUUUUAAGGACUCGUUUGGUUACACACGCCCCACCCCCCCACCCCCCCCUCUUUUUCUUCCUCCUCCCCUCUCUCUCUCUCUCUCUCUCUCUCAGUUUCCAAGUUGACUGUCACCUAUUAUGACGGUUCAUUUGUGUUACUGUUUUAAGUUUGUAAUUUAUCUCUUAGGGUUUAAUGGGUGUUUAUUGCUUCGAUGAAAUGCAUUGAAGGUUUGGUUUUUAGCAUCUAGAUCUUUUAUAUUUUUCAACCCUCACACAGCAAUAAAGGUCAUACUGAGUUUUCUGCAAA